rnacentral:rRNA from 1 species
UACGAAGGGGGCUAGCGUUGCUCGGAAUCACUGGGCGUAAAGGGUGCGUAGGCGGGUCUUUAAGUCAGAGGUGAAAUCCUGGAGCUCAACUCCAGAACUGCCUUUGAUACUGAGGAUCUUGAGUUCGGGAGAGGUGAGUGGAACUGCGAGUGUAGAGGUGAAAUUCGUAGAUAUUCGCAAGAACACCCGUGAGCGAAGGCGG